rnacentral:sRNA from 1 species
AUAGUGUUACCAAAUGUCGUGAGGAAGUCUGUCGUCAGUCUGAAAUUAGGCUUCAUUUCUAUUUACAGCGAACAAUGAUGUCCUUGUUUUCAGCUCGUCACCUGAAGACAUGGGCCAACUAUCGGUACAAACACAUAAUUGUUAACAUCACACCUGGGCAGAUUUAUUGAUUGUGGAAAGGAAGGCAAAUGAAAUCAUAAGCCACUGUUUAGGAAAAGUUAUAGGUUGUACCGUUUAGGUUGAUUGGCAAUUAUAUACACAGGAGUCAUCGGGCGAUUUUCAUUGUUCAGUAAACACGAAUGCCUUUUACGGUGUGCAAAUACAUCAAGGACGAUGACAUUUAAGAUUUAAAAUUUGAUCAACGAUACAUAUUAAAUAUAUAAAGAUUGUUAUCAUUUACGUACCGUCCUUGACCUUGGUGGUUACGUUCUAUAUCAGUUCAGUGCAUGUCAUGUAUACAUUAAAAAUUACAAGCCGAU